rnacentral:sRNA from 1 species
GUGCAGGUUAUAUUUGCUACUAGAUUGC